rnacentral:rRNA from 1 species
AAGGUAGCAUAAUCAUUAGUUUYUUAAUUAGAAGCUGGAAUGAAAGGUUGAAUGAGAAAAUAGCUGUCUCUGCUUAAAUUUAUUAGAAUUUUAUUUUUAAGUUAAAAAGCUUAAAUAUUUAUUGAAGACGAGAAGACCCUGUAGAGUUUUAUAAAAAUUUUUUUAAUUGUUUUAGAAUUGUAAAAAUUAAUUAAUUAUUUUUAUUUAGUUGGGGUGAUUAAAAAAUUUAUUUAACUUUUUUUGUAUAGAAACAUUAAUUUAUGAUAAAUUGAUCCUUUUAUAAAGAUUAUAAGAUUAAAUUAC